UACGAAGGGGGCUAGCGUUGCUCGGAAUUACUGGGCGUAAAGGGCUCGUAGGCGGCCAACUAAGUCAGACGUGAAAUCCCUCGGCUUAACCGGGGAACUGCGUCUGAUACUGGAUGGCUCGAGUUUGGGAGAGGGAUGCGGAAUUCCAGGUGUAGCGGUGAAAUGCGUAGAUAUCUGGAGGAACACCGGUGGCGAAGGCGGCAUCCUGGACCAACACUGACGCUGAUGAGCGAAAGCCAGGGGAGCAAACGGG
rnacentral:rRNA from 1 species